UGGGGAAUUUUGCACAAUGGGGGAAACCCUGAUGCAGCGACGCCGCGUGAUUUAGAAGGCCUUCGGGUUGUAAAAAUCUUUUCUCUGGGAAGAAAAUGACAGUACCAUAGGAAUAAGGACCGGCUAAUUACGUGCCAGCAGCCGCGGUAAUACGUAAGGUCCGAGCGUUGGCCGGAAUCAUUGGGCGUAAAGGGUACGUAGGCGGGUAAGCAAGUUAGAAGUGAAAUCCUAUAGCUCAACUAUAGUAAGCUUUUAAAACUGCUCAUCUUGAGGUAUGGAAGGGAAAGUGGAAUUCCUAGUGUAGCGGUGAAAUGCGCAGAUAUUAGGAGGAAUACCGGUGGCGAAGGCGACUUUCUGGCCAUAACCUGACGCUGAGGUACGAAAGCGUGGGUAGCAAACAGG
rnacentral:rRNA from 1 species